ensembl:lncRNA
GACCUAUCCAUGAUAUGUCCCCUAGUGUAAACUGCACAUGUACAGGGUUAUCAGAACACAAGUCCUUUCCUAUUCAAGACUCUGUUUUACAUUUGGUGUCCAUUUGUGUGUAUUUUAGGUGAUAAAGGAUGACCCUCUAACCGACUGUGUGGAUCACCAUGCCACAGAAAAGCUACCAGAAAGCAAACCGGUAAACCUGUUCAUGAGGCAUAAAUAAGAUAUACUCAUAAAGACGUUUUUUUUUUCUUCUGCUGUCAUACAGAAGAUUUGUGUGCCAUGUGUUCAACCUUGUGUAUUGCAGCAGCAGAAUCCUGGAAUGUUUAUGGGAAUGAUGCAAAAAGUCAACCCUUUCAAAUCUACAACACCGAUUCAGGACACCCAGUCCAUACACAGUGAUCUUUCCUCCAGUUCUGGCAGUCUGGCUGAGAGUAACAGUUCUGCAGGCAAACAGAACCCUGGGAUGUUCAAGGGAAUGAUGCAGAAAGUCAACCCAUUCAAAUCUACAGCACUGACCCAGGAGACUCAGCCGUCAUACAGCGAUUCAUCCUCCAGUUCUGACAGUCUGAGUGACACCAGCGUCUUCAGUCCUGCGGAGAAUCAGACCGUGUGGUACACAGACAGCGAAGCAACUUCUUCAGUGAAAAGUGGACCUCAACCACCACAAGAAAAUAAAAAAAAGACUGGGGCAUGUCGCUCUUUUAUUUAAUCAUACUAUUAUAUUAUACAAUCAAAUGUAUUUUAAAAUUAAGCAAUAAGGCCAGAGGGAUUGUGGUAUAUGGCCAAUAUACCUUGGCUAAGGGCCGUUCUUAUGCCCGACGCAAAAGGGAGUGCCUCGAUACAGGCUUUAGCCAUGGUAUAUUGGCCAUAUACCACAAACACCAGAGGUGCCUUAUUUCUAUUAUAAACUGGUCGCCAACAUAAUUAGAGCAGUAAAAAAUAAAUGUUUUGUCAUACCCGUGGUAUGCGGUCUGAUAUACCAUGGCUAUCAGCCAAUCAACAUUCAGGGCUUGAACCACCCAGUUAAUAAAGCCAUUUUUACAUCAGCACUUGUCACAAAGUACUACACUAUAACACUAUCAUCCUAUUUAAGUACAUCAUCUACAUAGGGGCCUCUUCAUAGGGCGUGUGUUCUUAUGUUUCUGUCUGUUUGUUUCUCUGGUAGACAUUCCAAAUCCGAAGGAUUCUCCCUGGUGCCCUGUUUGGCUAUGGAGCUAAGGAUUCUCCCUGGUGCCCUGUUCGGCUAUGGAGCAAAGGAUUCUCCCUGGUGCCCUGUUCGGCUAUGGAG